CUAAGGAUAAACUAAGUAACGAAGACGUUAAGAAAUCCGUAUGAAAAUAGGGGACGGCCAGAAAAUCCUGAUUUUCUAGGACGGCCAUCUUUUUCCUAGGAUUUUAGUCUGAGUACAAUUACUUAGUAACGGAAGCACGUUUUGGGGACGCUAUUUAGUUUUCAGAGGUUUUGUGGGGCCUUAGCUCAGCUGGGAGAGCGCCUGCUUUGCACGCAGGAGGUCAGCGGUUCGAUCCCGCUAGGCUCCAUUAGGAUACGGAGGACGAUUCGCUUUUUUCUUAAGACGUUAGUCCGGCGUUCAAGUAUUCUCAAAGAGCAGUGCCCCCUUAUCCUAAGCGGCAACGACGUUGCCAAUUGUUCAUUGAAAAUUGAAUAUCUAUCAAAUAGUAACAAGAAAAUAAACCGAAACGCUGUAAAUAUUUUAAAGAGACCAAAGAGAAAUAA
rnacentral:tRNA from 1 species